UGCGUGCGCGUGCUGUCUGAUUGAGAGAAAAUAAUUCAUCUUCAUCCUAUCUUCAUGAUCCAGUAACACCUGGAAAAAGACACCUGUCCUCUCAACAUGUGGAUCUAGCAGCAUUUUCUUUAAAGGAUUGCUUCUGCUUUGGAUUUCUUUCACUGCUUUGAAUCAGAGUUUUCAGUGGAUAGUGAGGUAAGACAGUUUUUCAAUCUGUGUGCAUUAUUGUCUCUGGAGGGUUUUCAGCAGCAGGUUGUGAAGUGAUAGAACUUUUUGGACAGCAGAGGACAUUAUAGAUACAGUGCGAGCAGGUUUGUAACAAAGGUUACAAAAUAUGAGAAUAAAAGGCUGUGGUUAGUGUUUGUAGCUUUUCUUACAAUAUCAUGGACACGAAAUCUAACCUAAUCUCUCAGAAAUAAAGGUGGCAAAAUAUACUUUUCAUUUUGGCAGGGUACCAUCAUGGGUAUAUCUUUUUUGUUCCUUUAAUUUUGUUCCUUUUGCCUGGGAAUGUCUAUGUGGUGUACCUUUCCUUUGCUUCUAAACUAAACUUUAAGUGGUCCUUAAGCUUGAUACAUUUAAAGAUUUACUGUAUUCAUGUUUUCAGGCUUAACCUGAAACUUGUAACCUUUAAAAAACAACAACAACAAUGUGUGUAUUUGUUGAUUUGGUGAUUUUUUUUUUUUUUUUUUUUGGAAGAGACGAUUAUUUAGCAUAUAUGGAAGGAGCCUCCAGUGUCAGCACUUUGUAACAGACAGCUGCAAGUGUUGCAGAUGGAAGCUGGUUCUUUGUAACAUGACAACGGAACAGACCAUCUGUUUAAAAUCUACGCAGCUUCCGGAAUCGUCUGAGUUAUCAAAGCAUUGCGAUGCAACAUCCAGCGCCCCUGAUGCUGCCUCAUAGUAAUUGUAUUGAGAAUCAGAAAGAAAUUUGACUUGGUUUGAAAUACCCGAGGGGAGGAUUUUGUUCCUAAACUUUCACUUGGGAGAAGAAGACUUCUGGUAAGGCUUUAAGGAUAUCUUCUGUUUCCACUUGUAGAAAGUCAUACAGUUGUGAACUAAUGAUAAUAUGCACUACCACAAAAAAUUACCUGUCACUCU
ensembl:lncRNA